AUUUAUAUAGUUUAUUAAAAUAUUGAUUUGUGGAAUCAAAGAUGUUCUUGAACUUU
rnacentral:tRNA from 1 species